rnacentral:rRNA from 1 species
AGAGUUUGAUCAUGGCUCAGCGUGAACGCUGGCGGCAUGGCUAAAGCAUGCAAGUCGUACGAACCCGCAAGGGUGAGUGGCGGACGGGUUAGUAAUAAGAUCGAACAUACCUCGAGCUGGAGGAUAGCGGCGGGAAACUGCCGGUAAUACUCCAUGUCCUCUCCGGAGAAAAGCUUUUGCGGCUUGAGAUUGGCGAUUUUCCUAUCAGCUAGUUGGCGGGGUAAAGGCCCACCAAGGCGAAGACGGGUAGCAGGUGUGAGAGCACGACCUGCAACAUCGGGACUGAGACACUGCCCGGACUCCUACGGGAGGCUGCAGCGACGAAUCUUCUGCAAUGGGUGAAAGCCUGACAGAGCAAUGCCGCGUGUGGGAUGAAGCGUCUAUGACGUGUAAACCACUGUCAGGGGGCGGAACCAAUGAUUGCCCCCAGAGGAAGAGCCGGCUAACCCUGUGCCAGCAGCCGCGGUAAUACAGGGGGCUCGAGCGUUACGCGGAAUCACUGGGCUUAAAGGGUGCGUAGGUGGCUUGCAAAGCAUUACGUGAAAGCCCCGGGCUCAACCCGGGAAUUGCGCGAUGUACUGGCAAGCUUGAGGUAUGUAGGGGUUGACGGAACAGUGGGUGGAGCGGUGAAAUGCGUAGAGAUCCACUGGAACGCCGAUGGUGAAGACGGUCAACUGGGCAUAUCCUGACACUGAGGCACGAAAGCGUGGGGAGCAAACAGGAUUAGAUACCCUGGUAGUCCACGCCGUAAACGAUGAUGACUGGACCGGUGCGGGUCUUACCCCGUAUCGGUCGAAGCGAAAGCGUUAAGUCAUCCGCCUGGGAAGUACGGUCGCAAGACUAAAACUCAAAUGAAUUGACGGGGGCUCACACAAGCGGUGGAGCAUGUUGCUUAAUUCGAGGCAACGCGAAGAACCUUACCUGGGUUUGACAUGUACGUAUCAACUCUAUGAAAGUAGAGCCACAGUCGCAAGACCGGAACGUGCACAGGUGCUGCAUGGCUGUCGUCAGCUCGUGCUGUGAAGUGUCGGGUUAAGUCCCUUAACGAGCGCAACCCCUAUCGUUAGUUGCCACCAGGUCAUGCUGAGCACUCUAACGAGACUGCCGGCGUUAAGCCGGAGGAAGGUGGGGAUGACGUCAAGUCCUCAUGGCCCUUACAUCCAGGGUUGCAAACGUGCUACAAUGGUGCAUACAGAGCGAUGCAAGAGCGCAAGCUGGAGCAAAUCGCAAAAAGUGCACCCCAGUUCGGAUUGCGGGCUGCAACCCGCCCGCAUGAAGUCGGAAUCGCUAGUAAUCGGGGAUCAGCUACGCCCCGGUGAAUAAGUUCCUGAGCCUUGUACACACCGCCCGUCACGUCAUGGGAGCCGGUUACGCCCGAAGUCGCCUCACUACUGUGGUGCCUACGGCAGAAUCGGUGACUGGGACGAAGUCGGAACAAGGUAGCCGUAGGAGAACCUGCGGCUG